rnacentral:tRNA from 1 species
GGGACGGUGGCUCAGUGGUUAGAACAUUUGCUUGGCAUGCAGAAGGUUCCAGGUUCAACCCCCAGCUUUUCCU